CGUAGGUGAUCUGCCUUUCACUUCGGGAUAAGCUUGGGAAACUGGGUCUAAUACCGGAUAUUCACGGCACCGUGGUUGGUGUGGUGGAAAGCUUUUGCGGUGGGAGAUGAGCUUGCGGCCUAUCAGCUUGUUGGUGGGGUAAUGGCCUACCAAGGCGGCGACGGGUAGCCGGCCUGAGAGGGUGUGCGGCCACAUUGGGACUGAGAUACGGCCCAGACUCCUACGGGAGGCAGCAGUGGGGAAUUUUGCACAAUGGGCGGAAGCCUGAUGCAGCGACGCCGUGUGGGGGAUGAAGGCCUUCGGGUUGUAAACUCCUUUCGUCAGGGACGAAGUUUGUUUGACGGUACCUGGAUAAGAAGCACCGGCUAACUACGUGCCAGCAGCCGCGGUAAUACGUAGGGUGCGAGCGUUGUCCGGAUUUACUGGGCGUAAAGGGCUCGUAGGUGGUGUGUUGCGUCGUCUGUGUAAUCCAGGGGCUUA
rnacentral:rRNA from 1 species